CGUACACUCCUGCGGGAGGCAGCAGUGGGGAAUAUUGGACAAUGGGCGCAAGCCUGAUCCAGCCAUGCCGCGUGAGUGAUGAAGGCCCUAGGGUUGUAAAGCUCUUUCACCGGUGAAGAUAAUGACGGUAACCGGAGAAGAAGCCCCGGCUAACUUCGUGCCAGCAGCCGCGGUAAUACGAAGGGGGCUAGCGUUGUUCGGAUUUACUGGGCGUAAAGCGCACGUAGGCGGACUAUUAAGUCAGGGGUGAAAUCCCGGGGCUCAACCCCGGAACUGCCUUUGAUACUGGUAGUCUUGAGUUCGAGAGAGGUGAGUGGAAUUCCGAGUGUAGAGGUGAAAUUCGUAGAUAUUCGGAGGAACACCAGUGGCGAAGGCGGCUCACUGGCUCGAUACUGACGCUGAGGUGCGAAAGCGUGGGGAGCAAACAGGAUUAGAAACCCGGGUAGUCCCAUGA
rnacentral:rRNA from 1 species